GUAGGGAAUCUUGCGCAAUGGGCGAAAGCCUGACGCAGCCAUGCCGCGUGAAUGAUGAAGGUCUUAGGAUUGUAAAAUUCUUUCACCGGGGACGAUAAUGACGGUACCCGGAGAAGAAGCCCCGGCUAACUUCGUGCCAGCAGCCGCGGUAAUACGAAGGGGGCUAGCGUUGCUCGGAAUUACUGGGCGUAAAGGGCGCGUAGGCGGACAGUUUAGUCAGAGGUGAAAGCCCAGGGCUCAACCUUGGAAUUGCCUUUGAUACUGGCUGUCUUGAGUACGGGAGAGGUGAGUGGAACUCCGAGUGUAGAGGUGAAAUUCGUAGAUAUUCGGAAGAACACCAGUGGCGAAGGCGACUCACUGGCCCGUUACUGACGCUGAGGCGCGAAAGCGUGGGGAGCAAACAGGAUUAGAAACCCCAGUAGUCC
rnacentral:rRNA from 1 species